UGCAAGUCGAGCGGAUGAAGGGGGCUUGCUCCUGGAUUCAGCGGCGGACGGGUGAGUAAUGCCUAGGAAUCUGCCUGGUAGUGGGGGAUAACGUCCGGAAACGGGCGCUAAUACCGCAUACGUCCUGAGGGAGAAAGUGGGGGAUCUUCGGACCUCACGCUAUCAGAUGAGCCUAGGUCGGAUUAGCUAGUUGGUGGGGUAAAGGCCUACCAAGGCGACGAUCCGUAACUGGUCUGAGAGGAUGAUCAGUCACACUGGAACUGAGACACGGUCCAGACUCCUACGGGAGGCAGCAGUGGGGAAUAUUGGACAAUGGGCGAAAGCCUGAUCCAGCCAUGCCGCGUGUGUGAAGAAGGUCUUCGGAUUGUAAAGCACUUUAAGUUGGGAGGAAGGGCAGUAAGUUAAUACCUUGCUGUUUUGACGUUACCAACAGAAUAAGCACCGGCUAACUUCGUGCCAGCAGCCGCGGUAAUACGAAGGGUGCAAGCGUUAAUCGGAAUUACUGGGCGUAAAGCGCGCGUAGGUGGUUCAGCAAGUUGGAUGUGAAAUCCCCGGGCUCAACCUGGGAACUGCAUCCAAAACUACUGAGCUAGAGUACGGUAGAGGGUGGUGGAAUUUCCUGUGUAGCGGUGAAAUGCGUAGAUAUAGGAAGGAACACCAGUGGCGAAGGCGACCACCUGGACUGAUACUGACACUGAGGUGCGAAA
rnacentral:rRNA from 1 species